UAGCCCUCCUAAACCGACUUCGAGAGAGUACCUCACUACCCUACGAUCAAAUUAAUCUUGUCCGUCGAUGUUGAUACCAGGCGCCUAUAAAAGGCGCACCUCUGUUAUUGGUUUGACGAAGCAUCUGGUUCUCGGUGUAGCGUAUAUGAUGGUUUCGUCGGUGCGGCGGUGUUUUGGUUUGUGGAUCGUCGAUAGUUGGUGGUGGCUUAUUUGUUGUAGAUCCGUGCUACGAUGAUGGAUUGUUUUGAGUUUGCGAGGCCUGGUGUUCGAUAGGAGUUUAAUUCGUCCCUCUUUAUUUAUUUGAUUUGGUCUUUGAUCGUGCUUCUUCUUGCGGCUGUGGCUUCUACUUGAUUUCUCGUGUGCUCUUCUGUGAUGUAGAAUUCGUGAGGGCGUUUAAUAUGAUGCGUGCAGUCGUCUUAUCGGCGUCGGAUCUCAGAUCUUGGUUUAUUGGUUUAUCGAUUCGUGUUUUCGUUUUAGAUCGUUCCCCUCUACGCGUUUUGGUUACUGCCUGACUUUUUGGUAAUACUUCCGUUGUAGAGAUCCUCGAUCUGUGUCGGUGGAUUGCCAAAUCGUGCACUGGAGUCUGAUUCUGAAUUGCUUCUCGGUGGUUUUCGGAUAUUUGGUUUUUAUCCAUAUUUAGUUUUGUUCCAGAACGUGCUACUUUUACAUGCUAUGGUUGCUACCUGAUUCGUUGGUCUCUCCUUUUGUGUCGUAGAGUUCGUGCGGAUUGUAAUCCUUCGGCGAUUUUGCUAUACAAGGACCGACAGCUGAUAUAAGCGAUUGGAUCUCGGUUACCUGAUCUAUUAAUCUCUAGUUUUUUUUUAGAACGUUCCUUUUGUCUCUGUUCCGGUGAUUGCCUGAUAGCCCUGGGUUUCUCCUUUCUCUGUUGUGGAAUUUGUGCAGAUAGUAAGCGUGGCUCCGGUCCACUCUAACAAGUGCUCAUGUCUCCUAUGACACCGGAUCUAAGUUUCAGAGCCUAUUGAUCUAUAGUUUCCAUUUUCCCUUUUAAAAAUUUUAAAAGAUCGUUCGUUAUUCUCUGUUUCAAUUUUGCCUGAUCUUUUGGUAUUCUAAUUUCCUGCUGUAGAGAUUGUGCGAAUCGUUAUUCUGGCGAUCUGCUCUUAACAAGUGCUGGCUGUUCAUAGAGGACCAGAGUCGGUUAAAUCGUUUAUCUACCUCUAGUUAGGGUUUAAAAUUCUUUAUUAUUUGUUUUUUUGGUCUUUUAACCUUUUUUGGUGUAGACUGUGCUGGACGUUAUGUUGGAGAUGGUUUGCCUAAGAAGUGCUUGUCUAUUGACCUGUGAUCGGACCUCAGUUUGUUUGUUUAAAUUAAUCUUUGGUGUUGAUUCAGAAUAUGCCACAUCGGUGUGAUCUAUUCCUGCCUGACCACCGGUUUUCUUUCUGUUGUAGAGUUUGUGUUUCCAGCUGUGGUUUGCCUUAACAAGCAGGGGAAGUUGAUUUGGGAGUGAUUUAUAUAUUUAGUCUGUUAAUCUGUGUUUGCUUUCUUCCGAUCUCCUUUUGCCCAGCCUAAUUGCUUGGUAUCUGCUGUGUUGUAGGCUUUUGUGGUUUCCUUAAGUCGCAUGGAUUCGUUUAUGAAGGGCAAUGCUCUAGGGUUUUUAAUCUUCAGUUUCAAUUUGGCUCUAGUUUUUCAUUCAUUGCCUCUGCUCUGCUCUCUCUUUCGCUGCCGUUUAUUCUAAUGUCUUAAAAUGAUUUUUCAAUGCAGUGAAAGAGUUUAUUGGCCAAAAGUGCUUUCGGUGCUUUACAGAAAGUUUUGGUUUGUUUACAUGAUUUCUUAAUUUCCUUUUGGCAGUCAUGAUAAUUAAGUACCUAUGAAAUUUCUAAUUCUGGUCCGUAGAAGCUGGUCUUUUGUGUUGGAGGUUUUCUUGCAGAUAAUUUAUGAUUCCAACUGCUCUAUCUGUUUUGAAGCGUUGAUUUCUUGGGUAAUUUAGAGCUAUAACAAACGCUGGGGAUGUCCCUUUCGCAUCAUGCUGUGUUUUGGCUGUCUUCCUUUAGAUCUUUCUUAAAGUUAUUGUGGCUUUUCUGUGAAGAUUUCUCUUGCAUUUAAAAUUAGGUCAUGACCUGCCUGUUGCAGCCCCUGUUUUAUUUUUACAUGCUAUUGUUGCCUUCUCAAUUUUGUUGCAGAACUUACUAAUAUGUAAGUGAGGCUGUGGUGGUAAUUGACUAGUCGAAGUAUUGGUGAUAUACUUGGUUUAGUUUAUUUCUUUCUAAUCCCUCAGCUUCUUAGCCUAAACUUUCAUGAUUCUUUAGUUUUUGUUUUGCAUAUGCCCUUGAUUUUUUUGCAGAAUUUUGGGUAUGUUGCCAAGGCUGUCUUUAGAGAGGAGCUUCUGUGUGCCUUCUUUUCUGCUGUUGGAGCUAAGGAUUUGUAGCCUUUGUAGCCACCAUUUGGUGUUUUGUAUGCCUGGAAAAUUUAGUAUGAUCUUACCAGCAUGUACCCGCACCUAAUGGUAGUAUCAGGCAUCAGUAAUCUGUCGUAAAUAUUCUUCACAAUUAGUUUAUUUAUUUUCAAGUUGAAUUUGUAAUCUUUGAACAUCCUUCUCUUUGGGCCUUGUUUUCCCUAGUGUGGUUUUGGUUUUUACAUGAUUUUCAGGCAGCAUGGCACAGGUUUCUUCAGUAGUCUCUAUUGUUAUUGUCCACGACAUCUUUCCUUGUACAUGCAUGACUUGUCAUGAUACGUUUCAUUUUAUAUAGAAUCUGCAAGACUGGUGCAAGUUUGAACUUGAUGAGGAAUGGUCCUACAUAAUAUAAGUUUAGGAACCUGGUUGGUGCAAGCUCGAAUUGGAGGAAAAUGCUUUUAAAGGGUGUCAUGAGUUGGAAGUUUCUAAGUAACCUAUCCAGAUCCUUUAUUUUGAAGCUUCUAUAACGAGGUUGCCCUUAUUUUGGCUGUCAAGGAACAAAUCUACUUCAAAUCUGUUUAUGCGUAUCUUAUGGGGAUUGUAACAUAUAUUUCUAAGUUGGUCUCUGAUUGUGCCUCCCCUUCAUGUAUUCUGGUUUCUGUCAGAUUUCACCUUUGCUUAUGUAUGGAUUGAAUUCUAGGAUAUAUUGGGAUUGCACCUGUCCUUUGUGGUUUGGUUUCUGUCAGAUUUCAUUAUCCUUUUAAACAUGGAUUUAAUGUCUAGGAAAUGGGAUUGUCUCUCCCCCUUAAUGUGGACUUAUCAGAUUUUAAUUUCCCUUUACUCCAUGUGGAUUUAAGUAUUGGAAACUGAGUUGGUUCUUAUUGAGAAGUACUCCUUAGAGCUUGCUGACAGACUGGAUGAGGUAAAUGGCUUCUUUUGGUUUCGAAGCAUGUGCUCUGCAGCAUUGCGUUAUGUUUGCAUUGAAGCGACCGUUGAAUAUAGGUUGCCCACAUCCCCUAAGCAUGAUUCCUUCAUUCAUUAUGUUUAUGUGGUGGCUUUGACAGUAAGAAAUGAUUUACAUGAUUUUCUGAUGGUUUCUCUCGACUGAUGGAGCUGAAGGUGACAUGUUGAAGUUUGUAUUUUGUGUUUCUCUAGUAUUGAGGACAUUUUAUUUAUUGGAGUAUACCCUGCAGUCGCUUUGAUGCUUUAUUUUUCGCCGUGUGACCAGCUUCUGGUCAGCUAGUCAAGCUCUGUUCGAGGUUGUGAAUAUCUAAAACUAUCAGAUCCUCCAAAUAGUGUCUAUACAUGCUCUUUGGUUUCUGAUGGUGUUAUAAGUGGAUUGAACCUGCUGCUUCUAAGAUGAGGAGAUGAUUUUAAAAUGAUACUUGAGGUAUCUAUAGAUGGUUAUUCUGUGCAAGUCAGCUCUCUGUUUUUGCUUUGCAUUAUUUUGCAUGGUUAGUCUGUUUUGAUUUUGUGGAUGGAACUCCUAUUUUAGGAUAUGAUAUGAUGGUUCACAGUGUUUCUGGUGUGUGUGAGUGCUGGUGAAGUUUUGAUCUCAAGUUGGUAAAAGAUGCUGUGUUAAAAAUUUCAACUGUGAUGUCCUGGUGAUGAUGUCUCUAGUAGAAUCCUCAAGGUGGCUAAGAGCUGUUGCCUGACUUAGAACUUUGGCCUGCGCUGUCCAAAUGACUGGUUUCUACUUACGUUACUUUGGGUCCAAUUUGCUUGGAGUUGAAGUGCUUUUCUCAGCCAGCUACUCUUCGAUAUUGUUGGUCCUCGUCUUCUGCUUAAUGUAACCAUUUCGUUUGUGUAUGCUGUAGCGAUCUGCCUAUGGGAUACAGUUGUAACAUUUGUCUAGUUGUUUGGUCUGUUGUGCUAUUGAUUUAUUAUUCUUUGAGUUCUAGCUGCCUUUGGUUGGUAGCAAUGCUCUUAGAUAGAAUAUAUACUUGUCACUUGUAUAUUUUAAUUGUAUUGCUUUAGCCCUUUAUGAACGGAUAAUGUUUAGUAGGAAGGGCUAAUACUUUGUAGGUUUGAAAUCUAAUGUCAAGUAUCUAGUGGAUUUCCAUCUUACUGUUACUACAUCAAUGCAAUCAUCAUUAUUCUACACUUAA